rnacentral:rRNA from 2 species
AGGUGGCCUGUGAGGGUUGCUGGAGGUAUCAGAAGUGCGAAUGCUGACAUAAGUAACGAUAAAGCGGGUGAAAAGCCCGCUCGCCGGAAGACCAAGGGUUCCUGUCCAACGUUAAUCGGGGCAGGGUGAGUCGACCCCUAAGGCGAGGCCGAAAGGCGUAGUCGAUGGGAAACGGGUUAAUAUUCCCGUACUUGGUGUUACUGCGAAGGGGGGACGGAGAAGGCUAUGUUGGCCGGGCGACGGUUGUCCCGGUUUAAGCGUGUAGGUGUGUGUUCCAGGUAAAUCCGGUUCACUUUAACACUGAGGCGUGACGACGAGGCACUACGGUGCUGAAGCAACAAAUGCCCUGCUUCCAGGAAAAGCCUCUAAGCAUCAGGUAACAUCAAAUCGUACCCCAAACCGACACAGGUGGUCAGGUAGAGAAUACCAAGGCGCUUGAGAGAACUCGGGUGAAGGAACUAGGCAAAAUGGUGCCGUAACUUCGGGAGAAGGCACGCUGACACGUAGGUGAAGUGAUUUACUCAUGGAGCUGAAGUCAGUCGAAGAUACCAGCUGGCUGCAACUGUUUAUUAAAAACACAGCACUGUGCAAACACGAAAGUGGACGUAUACGGUGUGACGCCUGCCCGGUGCCGGAAGGUUAAUUGAUGGGGUCAGCGCAAGCGAAGCUCCUGAUCGAAGCCCCGGUAAACGGCGGCCGUAACUAUAACGGUCCUAAGGUAGCGAAAUUCCUUGUCGGGUAAGUUCCGACCUGCACGAAUGGCGUAAUGAUGGCCAGGCUGUCUCCACCCGAGACUCAGUGAAAUUGAACUCGCUGUGAAGAUGCAGUGUACCCGCGGCAAGACGGAAAGACCCCGUGAACCUUUACUAUAGCUUGACACUGAACAUUGAGCCUUGAUGUGUAGGAUAGGUGGGAGGCUUUGAAGUGUGGACGCCAGUCUGCAUGGAGCCGACCUUGAAAUACCACCCUUUAAUGUUUGAUGUUCUAACGUGGACCCGUUACCCGGGUUGCGGACAGUGUCUGGUGGGUAGUUUGACUGGGGCGGUCUCCUCCUAAAGAGUAACGGAGGAGCACGAAGGUUGGCUAAUCCUGGUCGGACAUCAGGAGGUUAGUGCAAUGGCAUAAGCCAGCUUGACUGCGAGCGUGACGGCGCGAGCAGGUGCGAAAGCAGGUCAUAGUGAUCCGGUGGUUCUGAAUGGAAGGGCCAUCGCUCAACGGAUAAAAGGUACUCCGGGGAUAACAGGCUGAUACCGCCCAAGAGUUCAUAUCGACGGCGGUGUUUGGCACCUCGAUGUCGGCUCAUCACAUCCUGGGGCUGAAGUAGGUCCCAAGGGUAUGGCUGUUCGCCAUUUAAAGUGGUACGCGAGCUGGGUUUAGAACGUCGUGAGACAGUUCGGUCCCUAUCUGCCGUGGGCGCUGGAGAACUGAGGGGGGCUGCUCCUAGUACGAGAGGACCGGAGUGGACGCAUCACUGGUGUUCGGGUUGUCAUGCCAAUGGCACUGCCCGGUAGCUAAAUGCGGAAGAGAUAAGUGCUGAAAGCAUCUAAGCACGAAACUUGCCCCGAG